rnacentral:rRNA from 1 species
UGUUACUUUUAAUUAAAAAAUUUUGGAAUAAUAGUGUUAAUGAAAUUUAACGGAUUUGGCGGCAAGAUAGCCCCUUAGAGGAACCUGCCCUAUAAACGAUGAACCACGAGUACUUUACUUUUUUUGGUAAUUCAGUUUGUAUAUCGCUGUUGUCAGUUAGAUUCUUGAGAAUAUUUUCAUAAAUGAUAAAAUCAUUGACUUCAAGUAAAGGUGCAGCUUAUAAGAAAGAUAGAGGUGGGUUACAAUUAUUUGAAUAAAACGGAUUAGAUAAUAGAAUUAGUCUAUGAAGGUGGAUUUAACUGUAAAGCCUAAGAAGGUUUGGUGAGAGCUCUAUCUUGUG